AAUUUCCCCGCCUCUUUCUCUCCCCUCCGUAUCUCCACUAUUCGCUUCUUAUCUCCGCUAUCCACUUCAUCCUUCUACAACGUCAUGAAGCUGCAGAGUUCAGGUUUCUUCCAUUCCUCAAAACCCUCUCUCCUCCACUCAAAUCACCGCAUCCGCAGUCAUUCAUUGUUCAUCCCUUCUUCCCCAUUUCGGCUCUCUCUUCCGUUCCAUUGCCGAAACCACCCCGGACUUUUCUACUUACGCUCAAACCCUAAUUCUCAGAUUUAUGCUCAGAAGGAAUUUUGUGCCCGGGAACUGAACAUCGUAGUCGAUGAGUUCGUGGAAACUGGUUGUUCUGAUUUGCCUGUAGAACUUUGCUUGACGCGAACUUUGGACCCAGCUCUGACCCUUAUGCAGGCCGUAAAUGCGAUGAAAGAGGCGGUCAAUAAGCUGAAGAUAGAUCCUCCCUGCUCGAGGAGUGGUGUGCUGAGGUUUCAGAUUGUUGUACCUCCUAGUGUCAAAUCGUUGAAUUGGUUGUACUUGCAAUGUAAGUCGUUAGCUCCUUUUCCUCAAAUUUAUGUUGCAACAACAAAAAUGCAUGAGCGGUUCAAUGGGCUUACAAUAACAACUCAAAUGCUUGGAGUUUCUGGAGUUGGGUCAGCAAUUACAUUUUGUGGGUCUUCAGGCGUCCUCAGAGGAUAUAAUUUGAUGGAAAGAUACCUUUCCCUUGAAUCACCUCUUAUAAGUGCUUACGGGUUCAUUGGAAUUGAUUGGAACAUGGAAUCGAAAAAAAUGUUUAAUCACCCUGGUUCAUUUUAUUUUUUUAUCCCUCAGAUAGAGGUGAAUGAAUUUGAGAAUGUUUCUUUCCUGGCAUCAAAUUUGGUUUGGGAUAAUUCCUUAUCAUACCCAUUAGAGGAAGCAGUCCAUUCCUUGGAGAGAAGUCUCAACCAGAUUAAUGUCCAUGUUUCCUCUGCGAGCACUCUCGUUGUUGACAAGUGGAACUGGUUUGAAGGUCAAUCAGGCAUUGAAGGGAAGGAGGACUUUAAAAUGGUGCACAUAAACGCUGAAACUCUCCAAAAAAUGCACGCCAGUGGGAGAUUUUCUUCAUUGGAAGAGCUCACAGGUACUGACAAAUCUUAUUAUAGGAAUUCAACAACAGUCAUUGUCAGCAAGAACAUGUUCAGACUUCCUCAUGGGACAAGUAAGAUAAAGGAGUGCACAAACAUCAAUCUUUUAUGGGCAUCACUUAUAGUCGAAGAAUGUGUCCGGCUUGGUUUGAAGUACUUCUGUAUAGCUCCAGGUUCAAGAUCAUCUCCACUUGCACUUUCUGCUUGUAGCCAUUCUCUUACUACUUGCAUAUCUUGUUAUGAUGAGCGUUCACUUGCCUUUCAUGCUCUUGGGUAUGCAAGGGGAUCGCAUAAGCCUGCGGUUAUUAUAACAUCAUCAGGAACUGCUGUGUCAAAUCUGUUUCCUGCGGUUGUGGAAGCUAGUCAGGAUUUUGUGCCUCUCCUUAUGCUUACAGCUGAUAGGCCUCCUGAACUACAGGAUGUUGGCGCUAACCAAGCCAUCGAUCAGGUCAAUCAUUUUGGAAAAUUUGUGAGGUUCUUCUACAGCUUUCCACCACCUUCUGAUCAAAUCCCUGCAAGAAUGGUCCUCACAACCAUUGAUUCUGCCGUAUAUAGUGCAACUCAAUCCUUAUGUGGCCCUGUACAUCUUAACUGCCCUUUCAGGGAGCCACUGGAAGAUGUUCCUAAAGAAUGGGCUACUGAUUGUUUGAGAGGACUAGAUUUAUGGAUGUCAAAGGAAGAACCUUUUACCCAAUACAUAAAAAUUCAGCAUGCCUGGGGUCAUUGUUAUGAUCAGAUGGCCAAGGUUCUAGAUGUGAUACAUAAUGCUAACCAAGGCCUACUGCUACUUGGUGCUAUAAACACUGAUGAUGAAAUUUGGGCUGCACUUCUUUUAGCCAAACACCUGUCCUGGCCAGUUGUUCCUGAUGUUCUCUCAGGUCUACGAUUGCGCAAACUACUGACCUCAUGCCCGGGUAUUGAAGAUGACUUUCUAUUUCUUGAUCAUUUAGAUCAUGUUCUUCUAUCAGAAUCUGUCAAGAGCUGGCUACAACCAGAUGUGGUGGUUCAGAUUGGCAGCAGGAUUACAAGUAAGCGUGUCAGUCAAUUGCUUGACUCAUGCUCUCCAUUUGUAUAUAUCUUUGUAGACAAGCAUCCCAAUCGACAAGAUCCUUCUCACCUUGUCACACAUAGGGUUCAAUGCAGCAUUGUUGAAUUUACUGAACUUGUCCUGGUUGACAAAUGCCCAAAAAGAGGGAGGAAGUGGAGUCUGCUUUUAAAGGAAUUAAAUCUGAUGGUUGCAAUGGAGAUAUCAUUUCAAAUAUAUUCUGAAAUCUCUUUAACCGAGCCAUAUGUUGCACAUCUUGUUGGACAAGUCCUUAGAGGUGAUACUGCAUUAUUUAUUGGGAAUAGCAUGGCCAUACGGGAUAUGGACAUGUAUGGAAAGGGCUGGCUGAAACCUAACCAUGAUUCUGUUUUCAUGGAAACUAGUUGCAAUCUGGCAUUCAUGGGAUUGCGUGUAUCUGGAAACAGGGGAGCUAGCGGUAUUGAUGGUCUUCUUAGCAGUUCCAUUGGUUUUGCUGUAGGAAGCAAAAAACGUGUUGUAUGUGUGAUUGGUGAUGUAUCAUUUCUUCAUGAUACCAAUAGCUUGGCAAUUCUUAGCAAUAGGACAAGGAGAAAACCAAUGACGAUAAUUGUCAUAAACAAUCAUGGUGGAGCAAUCUUCAGUCUUCUGCCUAUCGCUAGUAGGACACAGGAAAGCGUGUUAAACCAAUACUUUUACACAUCACAUAAUAUAUCAAUUGGAAAGCUAUGCAGUGCUCACAGAGUGAAGCAUUUACUGGUGCAGACAAAAAUGGAACUGCAGCAUGCUUUGCACGAAUCACAGCAAGAUUAUGGUGAUUUUGUAAUAGAAGUUGAGAGUUGCAUUACAGAUAAUGCUAAGUUUCACAGCAUCGUAAGGAAGUCUUCUGGUCAAGCUGCUGAUCAAGCAUUUAGAGCCCUUUCUGUGACUCCAAUGACUGAAAUUGUCACUGAUAGCCUGUCUAUUUGUAAGAUCUGUAAUGUGGAGUACUCACUAUAUAGAAUCCAACUUUGUGCUCCAACUUCAACUCAGAUGAAACAUUAUAGAAAAGAUUUCUAUCAUGAAGGCUUUGUUCUUGCAAUAUCAUUGGAUGACAACAUUGUAGGAUAUGGCGAGAUAGCUCCAAUAGAAAUUCACAAAGAGAAUUUGUUGGACGUUGAAGAACAGCUGAGAUUUCUUGUUCAUGUAAUGGAAGGAGCUGAACUAAGUUGUCUUCUUCCGUUGCUUAGGGGCUCUUUUUCUCGUUGGAUAUGGAAAAUCUUGGGUAUUCCACCCUCCUCUGUCUUUCCAAGUGUAAGAUGUGGCAUGGAAAUGGCUAUACUUAAUGCAUUAGCAAAAAGGCAGGGUUCUAGCUUGUCAGGCUUCAUUGGAUAUGAGAGCUUCUUGUUAGGUACACAAAAAGUAGCUGAUAAAAACAUAUGCAAAGAAGAGGGAAUACCAAUCUGUGCACUUGUGGAUUGUGAUGGAACUCCCAAUGUGGUAGCUCAUGUUGUUUCUCAGCUGUUUCAUGACGGUUUUACUACGGUAAAGAUCAAGGUUGCACGACGAGAAGACCCUACUGAAGAUGCUGCUGUUAUCAGUGAAAUCAGAGCAGUUAUUGGCUAUAAAAUUAAUAUUCGUGUGGAUGCAAACCGCAAAUGGAGCUAUGACAAGGCAUUUCAUUUUGGGUCUUCUGUUAAAAGCUUUGCAUUAGAAUACAUUGAGGAACCUGUAUGUUUUGAAGAUGAUAUUAUCAAAUUUUGUGAAGAAACUGGCUUGCCUGUGGCACUAGAUGAGACAAUUGACAAUAUCAGUGGAGAAGCUCUUCAAAAGCUUGAGAAGUUUGUCCAUCCUGGCAUAGUUGCUGUCGUUAUCAAACCAAGUAUGGUUGGAGGAUUUGAAAAUGCCUUACUCAUUGCAAAAUGGGCCCAGAUGCAUGAGAAGAUGACUAUUGUAAGUAGUGCAUUUGAAAGUAGUCUGGGCUUGUCGACAUAUGUAAAAUUUGCUCACUAUCUUGACCAACUCAACAAAUCAAUAUCUGAAAUGCGAAAAGUAAAGCAGACUGCUCCUGCAGCCCACGGUCUUGGAACAUUUCAAUGGUUAAAGGAAGAUGUAUCGACUGAAGGUCUUAGAAUACGUAUUCCUCCACAUGGAAAAACAGUAGAAGCCUCUAUAGGAGAUACUGAUAUCUUCCUUAGAAAUUUUCAGGUAAACCCUGAAGUAAUUCAGAGGAUUUACAGAGGAGAACAAGUCAAGUCGUACAAAUCAGAAGUUGACUGCAAUGGUUUAUCUUGUUCAUUUAAGUUGAUGGAGGCUGGUGGAAAUAAAGAUGGUAACCUUAUCUUUCUUCAUGGAUUUCUCGGGAGCGGCCAAGAUUGGAUUCCAUUGAUGAAAGCUUUUUCUGCUACUACACGAUGCAUCUCUAUUGAUCUUCCAGGGCAUGGAGAUUCUUGUGUUCAAUGGCAUAAGAAAAAUUUAACACAAGAACCUUAUCAAUCAAUCGAAUCAGUGGCUGAAAUGUUGCUGCAAUUGAUUAAUAAUAUUACAAUUGGAAAGGUCAUCCUGGUUGGAUACUCGAUGGGAGGAAGGAUUGCAUUGUACAUGUCUCUGAAAUACUGUGAAAAGAUACAUGGAGCUGUCUUAAUAUCAGGAAGUCCGGGUUUAAGGAAUGAAAAUGCUCAGAGGAUUCGCUUAUCUCAAGAUGAAGCAAGGGCUUCCUACUUAUUGUCUCAUGGACUUAACAGUUUCCUGGAGACAUGGUAUGAAGGCAGCCUAUGGAAAAGCUUAAGGGCUCAUCCUCUCUUCAAUAAGAUAGUAAGGCAGCGUGAAAAACACCAAGAUAUCAGAUCUCUUGCAAAAUCCCUCACUGACUUGAGCACUGGAAGGCAAAGGCCUCUUUGGGAUGAACUAAGGCACUGCAAGAAUCCUGUUCUACUCAUUGUGGGAGAAGAAGAUCUCAAAUUCAGAAGAAUUGCAGAGGAGAUGUGCAACGAAAUCAAAAGCUCUUGUGCUGAUGAAGUCACCGGUCAAGAAGAUUUAUGUGAAAUGGUUAUAGUUCCAGAAUGUGGCCAUGCGGUGCAUUUGGAGAACCCUUUCCCAGUCAUUAAUGCUGUGAGGAAAUUCUUCACAAGAGUGAACAGAAAAUAGCUUCAGUUUCAGAUUUCACUUCUUAGACGAUCGAGUGAAGCAUCCAUAAGCUUAACAUUAAAGCAGUCUUCAUUUAAUCAGAUUGAAAUCCAAUUACCCCUUGAUUGGUCAAGCACUUGAUUUGAUUAUAAAAACAGUGAAUUUGUAAUGAGCUAAUUUAUGUUUGUUUUAUCAUCACAGUUUGUAUUGAGAUGCUUUUUACUAUUAAUUUUUAUUAAUAAUAAAUAGCUUAUUUUGGUCGCC